rnacentral:tRNA from 1 species
CCGGGUAUAGCGAAGUUGGUAUCGCGCCUGGUUUGGGACCAGGAGACCGUGCGUUCGAGCCGCACUAGGAGACCGUGCGUUCGAGCCGCACUACUCGGACCA